UUUGCAAGAUAUUCAAAUUUGUUUCAUAUGCAAAUAUCACCGGUGUGACAUCACAUCGCAUAAUGACAUUUUGAAAACGCAAUAUUUUACCAUGAUAAAAUAUUUUUACAAACAAAUACAGAUGGUUAAUUACCAGUUAUGAAAUUGAUACAUAUACUAGGGCAAUUUUAAAGUUUUUUAGAUACGUAUCCGUCAAGAAAACUAUACUUUUCUGAAAACUCAUUAUGCGAUGUGAUGUCACACCGGUGAUAUUUGCAUAUGAAACAAAGUUGAAUAUCUUGCAAAGGAAGC